rnacentral:lncRNA from 1 species
UGGCUGUAGGAGCCAAUCAUCAGAUAGAUAAAAGUAGUAAUGAGUUGGACCAAUAAAAAGUGCAAAGCCUGGCUUUCUUCAAGUCCUCAUGCUCCGAGAGUCUAAGGAGCAACAUUGUAAGGCUGCAAUUUUCUUUCAGGUUGCAGGUAAACUGCUCUGCAGGCAGCCUAAGUGUUCUUUGAAAAUCACUGAAAAUAUGUGACAUCUCACUGUUUGUAUCACUCUCAGGUCAGACCUUAGGUCCUCAGACAUUCUGUAUCACUUCUAAAAGUUUCCAAGUUCCUAUCACUGUCAUUGAGAAUAACUUGGUCUGCUCUUUUCAAAUUCUGGAAACAGGACACAAUGACAUUACAUAGGAAAAUGUCUCGUUUUCCUCUUUGAAUCUAUCUUUUGCUUUUUCAGAAAAGGGUGAGUUGGUAAUGAUGGCUGAUUAGGAGCUGGGUGAAGGGUCUAUCUCUCUGCCUUUGUCUUGCAUUACAGGGGCUCUGAGAAUUCCACCCCCAAGCCACUCCUCUGAGUCUUCUUCAGGACAGGAACACAACACUUAUAGGCCUGUAUUUUGUUUUUUUUGUGAGAGGAGUUUUCACUGUGUUGCCCAGGCUGGAGUGCAAUGGCACGAUCUCGACUCACUGCAACCUUUGCCUCCUGGGUUCAAGCAAUUCUUGUGCGUUAGCCUCCCAAGUAGCUGGGAUUACAGGCAUGCACCACCAAGUCUGGCUAUUUUUUAAAGAUUUUUGGUAGAUACAGGGUUUUGCCAUGUUGGCCAGGCUGGUCUCGAACUCCUGGCCUCAAGUGAUCCACUCACCUCAUCCUCCCAAAGUG